rnacentral:rRNA from 1 species
AUUGAACGCUGGCGGAAUGCUUUACACAUGCAAGUCGAACGGCAGCACGGACUUCGGUCUGGUGGCGAGUGGCGGACGGGUGAGUAAUGUAUCGGAACGUGCCCAGUCGUGGGGGAUAACGUAGUGAAAAUUACGCUAAUACCGCAUACGAUCUAUGGAUGAAAGCGGGGGAUCGCAAGACCUCGCGCGAUUGGAGCGGCCGAUAUCAGAUUAGGUAGUUGGGGGGGUAAAGGCCCACCAAGCCAACGAUCUGUAGCUGGUCUGAGAGGACGACCAGCCACACUGGAACGGAGACACGGUCCAGACUCGUACGGGAGGCAGCAGUGGGGAAUUUUGGACAAGGGGCGAAAGCCUGAUCCAGCCAUUCCGCGUGCAGGAUGAAGGCCCUCGGGUUGUAAACUGCUUUUGUACAGAACGAAAAGGUUUCUACUAAUACUAGGAGCUCAUGACGGUACUGUAAGAAUAAGCACCGGCUAACUACGUGCCAGCAGCCGCGGUAA